UGAUUUCAGGUCAAGAAUUGA
rnacentral:miRNA from 1 species